rnacentral:misc_RNA from 1 species
GAUGAAGAACGUAGCGAAAUGCGAUAAGUAAUGUGAAUUGCAGAAUUCAGUGAAUCAUCGAAUCUUUGAACGCACAUUGCGCCCAUUAGUAUUCUAGUGGGCAUGCCUGUUCGAGCGUCAUUAAGUCCACUUAAGCCCUGCUUAGUGUUGGGAGACUGCUCCAGCGGUGCUACCCUGUAGCUACCCUGCAGCUCCUCAAAGACAGCGGCGGAGUUGUGGUAUCCUCUGAGCUUAGUAACUUGUUCUAGCUUUCGAGUACACCACUUCCCCUGCCGUAAAACCCUUAAUUUUUAAUGGUUGACCUCGGAUCAGGUAGGAAUACCCGCUGAACUUAAGCAUAUCAAUAAGCGGUGGA